UGGGGAAUAUUGCACAAUGGGCGCAAGCCUGAUGCAGCGACGCCGCGUGGGGGAUGAAGGCCUUCGGGUUGUAAACUCCUUUCGCUAUCGACGAAGCCACUUUGUGGUGACGGUAGGCAGAUAAGAAGCACCGGCUAACGACGUGCCAGCAGCUGCGGUAAUACGUAGGGUGCAAGCGUUGUCCGGAAUUACUGGGCGUAAAGAGCUCGUAGGUGGUUUGUCGCGUCGUCUGUGAAAUCCCGGGGCUUAACUUCGGGCGUGCAGGCGAUACGGGUAUAACUUGAGUGCUGUAGGGGGGACUGGAAUUCCUGGUGUAGCGGUGAAAUGCGCAGAUAUCAGGAGGAACACCGAUGGCGAAGGCAGGUAUCUGGGCAGUUACUGACGCUGAGGAGCGAAAGCAUGGGUAGCGAACAGG
rnacentral:rRNA from 1 species